rnacentral:rRNA from 1 species
GACGAACGCUGGCGGCGUGCUUAACACAUGCAAGUCGAACGAAGUGGCGAACGGGUGAGUAACGCGUAAUCAACCUGCCCUUCAGAGGGGGACAACAGUUGGAAACGACUGCUACUACCGCAUACUUAAGGAGGGGAUUGCGUCGGAUUCGCUAGUUGGAGGGUUAACGGCCCACCAAGGAGAUGAUCAGUAGGCGGUCUGAGAGGAUGAACGGCCAAAUGGGGAAGGGGACACGGCCCAGACUCCUACGGGAGGCAGCAGUGGGGAAGCUUCCGCAAUGGACGAAAGUCUGACGGAGCAACGCCGCGUGAGUGAUGACGGCCUUCGGGUUGUAAAGCUCUGUUAAUCGGGACGCGGUACCGGAAUAGAAAGCCACGGCUAACUACGUGCCAGCAGCCGCGGUAAUUC